ACUAGAUCUAGCCCACACUCCCCCCNNNNNNNNNCCCCCCNAUCACAGACAAAUCAAAUAAAGCAUUCACCACCCAUUCAAAGUAUAGGAGAUAGAAAUCCAAAUCACUAGUGGCGCUAUAGAGAAAGUACCGUAAGGGAAAGAUGAAAGAUAUCCUAAAAGUAAAAAAAAGCAAAGCUUACCCCUUGUACCUUUUGCAUAAUGAAUUAACUAGUAGUAACUUAGCAAAGAGACCUUUAGUUAAACUACCCGAAACCAGACGAGCUACUUACGAACAGUACCUAGAACGAACUCAUCUAUGUGGCAAAAUAGUGAGAAGAUUUGUAAGUAGAGGUGAAAAGCCUAACGAGCCUGGUGAUAGCUGGUUGUCCAAGAAAAGAAUCUCAGUUCAACAUUAAACAGUACCAAGAACCCCCUGAAGUUCCAAUGUAUGUUUAACUGUUAGUCUAAAAAGGUACAGCUUUUUAGAAAUGGGUACAACCUUAACUAGAGAGUAAAACAGACACACACAUGCCAUAGUUGGCUUAAAAGCAGCCAUCAAUUAAGAAAGCGUUCAAGCUCAACAAUAAAACUGUGUUAUAAUCCCAACAAUAACAAAUCAACUCCUAGUAUAAUUAUUGGACUAAUCUAUAUAAUUAUAGAAGCAAUACUGUUAACAUGAGUAACAAGAAAACUUUUUCUCCUCGCACAAGCUUACAUCAGUAACUGAUACUACACUGAUAGUUAACAGCCAAUAAAUAAAACCCAACGCCAAGCCAUUUAUUAAGCCCACUGUUAACCCAACACAGGCGUGCACCAAGGAAAGAUUAAAAAAAGUAAAAGGAACUCGGCAAACACAAACCUCGCCUGUUUACCAAAAACAUCACCUCUAGCAUAACCAGUAUUAGAGGCACUGCCUGCCCAGUGACUGAUAGUUAAACGGCCGCGGUAUCCUGACCGUGCAAAGGUAGCAUAAUCACUUGUUCUCUAAAUAAGGACUUGUAUGAACGGCCACACGAAGGUUUUACUGUCUCUUACUUUUAAUCAGUGAAAUUGACCUUCCCGUGAAGAGGCGGGAAUAACAAAACAAGACGAGAAGACCCUAUGGAGCUUCAAUUAAUCAACCCAAUAACCCACAACCUCAAACCACCAAGGGAUAAAAAAAACUUAUAUGGGUUGACAAUUUCGGUUGGGGUGACCUCGGAGCACAAAAACCCCUCCGAGUGAUUAAAGCCUAGGCCUACCAGCCAAAGCAUAACAUCACUUAUUGAUCCAAAGCUUUGAUCAACGGAACAAGUUACCCUAGGGAUAACAGCGCAAUCCUAUUCUAGAGUCCAUAUCGACAAUAGGGUUUACGACCUCGAUGUUGGAUCAGGACAUCCUAAUGGUGCAGCCGCUAUUAAGGGUUCGUUUGUUCAACGAUUAAAGUCCUACGUGAUCUGAGUUCAGACCGGAGCAAUCCAGGUCGGUUUCUAUCUGUUGCGCAUUUCUCCCAGUACGAAAGGACAAGAGAAAUAAGGCCAACUUUACACACGCGCCUUCAAAUAACUAAUGAUCUAAUCUUAAUUAAACAAACAAGCGCAAACUAACCCUGCCCAAGACCAGGGCAUU
rnacentral:rRNA from 1 species